CAUCGGUGGUACUGAUCACUUGCCUGUCUGCAACCUAUGCACAAGCAUAAGCGUAAACUUAUCAACAUCAUUCCAAUCAAAGAUUAUGGCCAUUUCAUUUUAACAGUAACAGACCUACUUAUAGGUCUGUUAUUUCAGCUUAUUAUACCAAAAGAACACUGAAACAGGAGGUACCAGACUAAGCAUAGGAUGAAAGUACACUAAGAUUUUACAAUUUUUAUUUCUGCCAAAAUCAGGGUUACUGACUUCAUCUGUACAGCUUCUCUGUUUCUUCAAAGAAUGACCUUUAGCAAAAAGAGAGAACAUUUAUUUCCAGAUUGUUUUACAGUUUCCACCACAAAAAUAAUGACCAUUAAGUGCUGUAUGACUUAGUCAUUGAUCUAAUAAUCUUAGGCAUUUAUAAAAAGAGGAUACAUGCCAACCUAUUAUAUUAAGAGAGUCAUGGUAAGAAUCUACUAAAUAUGCCAAACGCUUAUCUCAACAAUCUAUUAACUCAGUUUUGCUAUCAGUAUUUCAUAAAUUCUGUUAUUGAACAUGAAAACUAGUAUAAAUCUGUACAGAAAUCAGCAUUUAUCUGAAAUACCUUUAAAAACCUCCCUCCCUUUGAGCCCACAGAUUCAACUUCUCAGCAUCUAGCCGCAGGAAGUACUCUGUGAACCACGAAGAAUACAGAGGAUGUUUUCAUGCGAACCGUCCAGAACUGCUUCAGAACAACAUGGGAGAUGUGGAGACUGCACAGAGCAGCAGAAAAGAAGUAAUUUUAAAAUCUUGCUCAGACCUUAACUUUGAGCUGUCUGUUUGGAAGAUCUGUAUAGAGAGCAUCCCAUUGUUCUACAGUGAAGCCCUUCAGAGUCAGGAUCGCCUCAACCACCAGCAUGUCGGAAAUAGCGUCACCAGCUGCCUGCAAGACAGGAGACACAACGGAAGAAACCACUCACACACAAGCAAAGCUCAGCAAUGAACGUGGGCUUCGAAAACCAAUCCUGGUCCUGUACAUCCUCCUGCCCUAAUCUUCCUCAUCUAUAAAAUGAGAUUAGACUGGGUAACUGUUAAGGUUCUAGCAUCAAAAUUCUAUGACUCAAAUUUUUCUUUCUAACUGCAUCCCUUUAGAGAUACCAUACCAUGAUGGAAGGCAUCGUGCAUGGUAAAGGGAACAAACACAAGGUUUGGUAUAAGACAAACCUAAAAUUGGACCCAUACUCUGCCACUUAGUAGUUAGAAACCUUUUGUUUCUUCAUUUAUGAAAUGGGAAUUAUAAUAACUCCUUGCCCUGUGCUACUGGAUCACCGAUGCGGUAUGUAAAGUGACCGUUACCUGCAAGCUGCUCAAACAAUUGUUGCUUUGCUAUUCCUUGUGUCCUGUACUUCGCUUGCUUUUCCACUGCCACAUUCUACACCCCAGUCUCAAGGAUUUGACCCACAUACAUUCAGUAGCUGAAUCUUUUGACUCUGUGUUAGCUACUCAUUAUACUUGAAAAUUUUCAUCACAAACUGCAGUGGGAUGGAAGCAUAUGAAUGCUCUCACAGCAUUUGUUAGACCUGAGCGUUUACACACCACUGCUAGAAGGAAGCUGCCAGGACUCAUCACUUUCACUUUUUACACAGCACACUGCCCUAGCCACCUUCUGCUAAUGUAAAAGUGACCCGAAGCCUGCCACCCCAUCAGUUCUGACCUGGUUAAACAAGUCAAUAAUAUUUUCAAGCAUCUUAGCAGCUUUCUGUUUCUUAUCUUCUAAUUCUUUUGCUAGUUGUUUUAUCUUCAUUUCAGCAGCUUUACUAAACAGCACCUGCAACGAGAGUGCACAAAAUCACAAGGUACUCUCGGUGCCCAGUCAUAAGUACUAUCAUCCUGCUGAACUACUUCUGAAACUCAGCAAAUCUGAAGAAACUGAGGAUGAAAAUAAUGGCCUUAGAAUGUAUGAAAUUAGUAAGAUCACAUCAGAACCGUAAAGAUACUCUAGAGAAAAACAGGUCCUUUGUGGAUUAUAAAACUCGUUAUCAACAGUACAAAGACAAUGCCCCCCCCCACCCCCGCAAAAGCAAAUGCAUGUGAUCACUGGUCUUCAUUGUGUUCGACCUUCGGCCACCUACCUCAGCUCUGGGCCAAACAGGUUCCUUAAGCUUUUUACUUUGCAAAAUAUAAUUCAUUGCAACCAGUACAAUUUUCUUGUCCUAAAAUUUUUAAGGAUAUAAGCUCUGCAAAAGCAGAAAGAGGCUUUGUCAUAUUUAUCACAUUGUGAUAAAGAGUGCUGUGGAUAUUUAUUCUGUACAUUAUGUUCUUCAAGAUUAUCACUUUGAAAUGCCUUGCCCAUGAUUUCAGUGCCUUCAGGGGCCCUGAACUAAAGAGGAAUAGCAUACUACACUCAGCCACUUGAUGAAAUACAGGUUUGCUGGUAAACUGAAGUGCAGGCUGGCCCCUUGUUUCUCUAGAGCACAGCCGUACCCACUCAUCUACCUACACCAGCAGAGUGGAGGGGCCUCAAAAGAAACUUCAUGACCCAUGGCCUAAAAUAGUUACUAUCUGCCCUUUAAAAUCAUUUAUCAAGCCCUGCAUUAAUUAGAUCACUGAAGUUAUAUUUUAAUUACAUUUCCUACGAGUAUUAUUUUUCUUCUACUCAUGUCCCCUAGAAGCCAAUUUUGAAUUAAUGAGGAAAAUAACCUAGAUAACAUAUUUUUUUUUGUUCAUCACAGGCCAGGUGAAGUAUAGAAACAUCUAAAAAAUUCCAAAACCUAUGAACACCCUAAAACCAUUUAAUAUACUUUAAAGUGGUGAAUUUCAUGAUAUGUGAAUUUUAUCUCAAAAAUUUUUAGACAUUCUAUGUUCAAAUAUUUAAACUCAUUUCCAGUUGUUCAUGUCUUAAUUCUCAAGCUUUCUAACACUUGUUGAUUCACCUUUUACCACUUGUGUAGCCACUUGAAGGAAAACAUUUUAAAUGAUGUAUAAUCUGCUUAUGAGAAGGUUAAGAAGUGUGUAUUUUUUAAGAAACUGACAAUAUUAUCACUUCACAAAGAUUAACAAUCUAAAAGACAACCAUAGUUUCAACACACAGAAUAUAUUGUUAACCAAAUAGUCUUAUUCUAUCACCAUCCCAAUCAUUUCAACAAACUGCAAUUACCUUUACUUCCUAUAUAUCAAAUUCUCAUCAAAAAAGAAAGUGCCAACUAAAGCCAGUUGUAAUUGUUAACGAGACCUUACUGUGCCAUGUCCGUUUGCUUCAAAAUAAACUCCAAUGUCAAAUUCCUG